UAAGGAAUAUUGGACAAUGGAGGCAACUCUGAUCCAGCCAUGCCGCGUGAAGGAAUAAGGCCCUAUGGGUUGUAAACUUCUUUUAGACGGGACAAAACCCCUUUACGUGUAAAGGGUUGAUGGUACUGUCAGAAUAAGCAUCGGCUAACUUCGUGCCAGCAGCCGCGGUAAUACGAAGGAUGCAAGCGUUAUCCGGAAUUAUUGGGUUUAAAGGGUGCGUAGGCGGACUAAUAAGUCAGUGGUGAAAGCCUGCAGCUUAACUGCAGAAUUGCCAUUGAUACUGUUAGUCUUGAGUACAGUUGAGGUAGGCGGAAUGUGUCAUGUGGCGGUGAAAUGCUUAGAUAUGACACAGAACACCGAUUGCGAAGGCAGCUUGCUAAGCUGUAACUGACGCUGAGGCACGAAAGCGUGGGGAGCAAACA
rnacentral:rRNA from 1 species